UGGUAAAUCUAUUUUUAGUUUUUUUGAGAUUCUCCAUACUGUUUUCCAUAAUGGCUGCACCAAAUUACAUUCCCACCCGCAGUGUGGGAGGGUUCCCUUUUCUCCCCAGUGUGAAGGGUUUGAAGCAUUGUUGGGAGAAUGACCAGAGCAUGUUAUGUAAUUCCCCAGGUAAUAAUCCCAACAACCAUGUGCUGUGAAUACUAUUAUUUCCCCAUUUCAGAAAUGAGGAAACUGAGGCUUGGAGGAGUGAGACUUCCUGCCUAAUAUAGCAUACUUAACCAUGGGGUUACUAGCUGCAAACCCAGGUAAGCCUCCCCCUAGAGCUCAGGCCCUGAAGUCAGACACUAGACACCAUGUGGUAGAUUCCAUGAUGAAUUGGAAGCCAAACACCACCUGACUGGUCCUAAUGCAAGUUCAAAGUUUGUGAACUUGAAAGUAAGAUAUGGAAGAAUUGUGCCACACCCCUAUGCUGUCCUUAGUCCUGAGGGAAAAUAUUUCUUAAAAGUAUAGAUCUUGAAGCAUCUUGCCUGGAAGAAUGUAUCCCUAGGCUGACAGGCUACCAGAAAUUGAUGACGUCAUUCUGUAUGUGUGAUUAUUUUCUUCCUCAAAAUUAUUUUAUUUUAUUUUAAAGACUUUUUUGGAGGAGAGGUAAUUAGGUUGGUUUGUUUAUUCAUAAUGGAGAUACUGGGGAUUGAACCCAGGACCUCAUGUAUGCUAUGCACAUGCUUUACCACUGAGCUCUUUCCCUCCCCUCGUCUGUAAAAUCUUUAAUCAUUCCUGUUAAGACUACUUGUAGGUCCAGGGUGUGACUUUGGACAGAUACUGCCCCUAACUCUGCAAGUAGACAGCCUUGACUCCCCUCCCACCACAUGGGUACCUGAGGGCCCGAGUCUGUGGUGAUGAGAAGCAUGUAUCUAGCACUAAUUGUGCACCUUGCACUGUUUAAAGCACUUGGUACAUAACCUCACCAAGAUGUUGGUACUUUUUUUUUCUGCCAUUUUAAUGAAUGGAUGUUUAUGUUUGAGGAACAUUUAAAUCACUUCACAGAUCUGCAAGGGAGGUUUUAUCUUCAUUUCACAUCAUGGAGGUGAAACUGCUGGCCUGGGAUCCCAGGAUUGGAGUGGUGAGGCUGGGAUUUACCAGCCAUGAAUCUCCAGAGCAGCCAGGGCCAGUGUAUCCCACUCAGGAUAUGGAGCACCUGCAGGAGAUUUUACAGGAAGCAGCCCCCCACCAGAUGAAAACUGCUGACUGCAAGCACGUAGACCCCAGACUGGUUGAAACCAGAAGAUGGGUGAUGAUCAAAACUUCACUUUGAUGCCAACUAAUCUGAGAGGGCUGUGUAAUCUCAGGACGUGUUCGUGCACUUCUCCCAGGAGGAGUGGGGGCUCCUUGAUGAGGCUCAGAGACGCCUGUACUGGGACAUGAUGCUGGAGAGCUUGGCACUUUUAGCCUCCCUGGGCAUCACAUCCUCCAGUUCACAUUCGGUCACUCAGCUGCAGCAACGGGGUGAGCCUUGGGUGCCUGGCCAGCUCAAUCUGAUACCAGCCACAGAGAAAGAGACUCAGCCCAGACCUGGAUCUGGUUACUACAGGCCAUUGAACAUAGUUCCCUGUGCUGUCCAGCAGGACCUCGUUUAUCUGUUCUGUGCAUAGUCAUUUGUAUCUAACAUCAGCCUGCACUCAGUGUGUCAUGAGAUGCACACAUGUCCUCAGGUCGCCUUUGAACACCAGCUACUCACUUGUCAUUGGAUCUUCCUGCGCCUGAACAUGCUCUCUGCCUAACACUCAUGUGUCACAACAGCCAGCAUCCUGCUGGAAGCUGUUGGCUGUGUUCUGCCCUCAUAUCCUUGCCUUCCGGAGGCCUCCCCAAUUCCGUGACCAUCAGUCCCAUAGACUUACCCAGGAGGUGUCAGACCUAUGUCUGACAGGGUUACCCUCCACCAGAGUCAGCAUGCAUCUCAUCAGGCCCUUCUCUAC